rnacentral:rRNA from 1 species
GGCGGCAUGCCUUACACAUGCAAGUCGAACGGCAGCACGGGGGCAACCCUGGUGGCGAGUGGCGAACGGGUGAGUAAUACAUCGGAACGUGUCCUGUAGUGGGGGAUAGCCCGGCGAAAGCCGGAUUAAUACCGCAUACGCUCUACGGAGGAAAGGGGGGGAUCUUCGGACCUCCCGCUACAGGGGCGGCCGAUGGCAGAUUAGCUAGUUGGUGGGGUAAAGGCCUACCAAGGCGACGAUCUGUAGCUGGUCUGAGAGGACGACCAGCCACACUGGGACUGAGACACGGCCCAGACUCCUACGGGAGGCAGCAGUGGGGAAUUUUGGACAAUGGGGGAAACCCUGAUCCAGCAAUGCCGCGUGUGUGAAGAAGGCCUUCGGGUUGUAAAGCACCUUUGUCCGGAAAGAAAACCUCCGCCCUAAUAUGGUGGGGGGAUGACGGUACCGGAAGAAUAAGCACCGGCUAACUACGUGCCAGCAGCCGCGGUAAUACGUAGGGUGCAAGCGUUAAUCGGAAUUACUGGGCGUAAA